UCUUUCCUCCCGAGUGCUUGCACUCAAUUGGAAAGAGGAGUGGCGGACGGGUGAGUAACACGUGGGUAACCUACCCAUCAGAGGGGGAUAACACUUGGAAACAGGUGCUAAUACCGCGUAACAGUUUAUGCCGCAUGGCAUAAGAGUGAAAGGCGCUUUCGGGUGUCGCUGAUGGAUGGACCCGCGGUGCAUUAGCUAGUUGGUGAGGUAACGGCUCACCAAGGCCACGAUGCAUAGCCGACCUGAGAGGGUGAUCGGCCACACUGGGACUGAGACACGGCCCAGACUCCUACGGGAGGCAGCAGUAGGGAAUCUUCGGCAAUGGACGAAAGUCUGACCGAGCAACGCCGCGUGAGUGAAGAAGGUUUUCGGAUCGUAAAACUCUGUUGUUAGAGAAGAACAAGGACGUUAGUAACUGAACGUCCCCUGACGGUAUCUAACCAGAAAGCCACGGCUAACUACGUGCCAGCAGCCGCGGUAAUACGUAGGUGGCAAGCGUUGUCCGGAUUUAUUGGGCGUAAAGCGAGCGCAGGCGGUUUCUUAAGUCUGAUGUGAAAGCCCCCGGCUCAACCGGGGAGGGUCAUUGGAAACUGGGAGACUUGAGUGCAGAAGAGGAGAGUGGAAUUCCAUGUGUAGCGGUGAAAUGCGUAGAUAUAUGGAGGAACACCAGUGGCGAAGGCGGCUCUCUGGUCUG
rnacentral:rRNA from 1 species